UGCGUGCUGCUUCCCACUAUGCCCACCAAUGAUUCAGCCAUCAAAGUAAUUUUUCUGAAACACUUAUUUCAUAAAGUGGAACAGAGUCUUCUAGAGUUUGUUAAAGAAAACCAAAAGCCUACAAAUUGUUUACUUCUUGUGAUCAGAUUUUUUGUCUAGACAUUUCAGAUUUUAUUGGGAUAUUAACUGUUCUCUUCUAAUCCCAUUUAUAGAUCUUGAGUAGCAACAACAAUGCAAAGGAGCAACUAUCUAGAAAGUCAAAAAACUUCCCCAAACAUUCUCAACAUGUGUCUGGAAGUGUUGUUCGAAGAGGCUCCAUAGAAAAAACUUUCACAGCAUACACCACUUUCUGAUUCCAAUACCGUCAUUGAUCAGAUGUCCACAGCAUUAAAAUUGCUUUAGUUAUUUCUUCUGAAGUCCAAAUACAUUACACAUCCAAUGCACCUGGUUUCUCUAGCAGGAAAAACUGGAAUCCCAAGGUCAGUACUGCUUAUUGGCUUCACAAAGAACACAUCAAAUCAAGAUACUUUAAUAUACCACUGGAUCUACCUUCUGUUUAUAUCUUAAGUUAUGUGUUGUGAUGAGAUAUAUGAAAGAUAUGGAAUCUAUAUAUGAAAGAUAUGGAAUCUAAUUUAAAUUACACAACAGCUAAUGAA